rnacentral:rRNA from 1 species
UUUGAUCCUGGCUCAGGACGAACGCUUUGGUGCCUAACAUGCUUGUAGAGCGAACCAUUAAGAAGCUUGCUCUUUGUUGGUUAGCGGGACGGGUGAGUAACACGUGGGUAACCUGCCUGUAAGACCGGGAUAACUCCGGGAUUUCCGGUGCUAAUACCGGAUAGAUUAUCUUUCCGCCUGGAGAAAUAAGGAAAGAUGGCUAUUGCCAUCACUUACAGAUGGGUUUGCGGGCCGCAUUAGCUAGCGUUGGUGAUAGGUAACGGCUCACCAAGGCGACGAUGCGUACCGACCUGAGAGGGUGAUCGGCCACACUGGGACUGAGACACGGCCCAGACUCCUACGGGAGGCAGCAGUAGGGAAUCUUCCGCAAUGGACGAAAGUCUGACGGAGCAACGCCGUUUGAGUAUUAGAAGGUCUUCGGAUCGUAAAGCUCUGUUGUUAGGGAAGAACAAGUAUCGGAGGAAAUGCCGGUACCUUGUGACGGUACCUGACGAGAAAGCCACGGCUAACUACGUGCCAGCAGCCGCGGUAAUACGUAGGUGGCAAGCGUUGUCCGGAUUUAUUGGCGUAAAGCGCGCGCAGUGUGCGGUCCUUUAAGUCUGAUGUGAGUAAUCUUGCGGCUCAACCGCAAGCUGUCAUUGGAAACUGGGGGACUUGAGUGCAGAAGAGGAAAGCGAAUUCCACGUGUAGCGGUGAAAUGCGUAAGAUGUGGAGGAACACCAGUUCGAAGCGGCAAACUGGUCUGUAACUGACGCUGAGGCGCGAAAGCGUGGGAGCAAACAGGAUUAGAUACCCUGGUAGUCCACGCCGUAUUCGAUGAGUGCUAAGUGUUGGAGGUUCCGCCCUUCAGUGCUGCAGUAACGCAUUAAGCACUCCGCCUGGGGAGUACGGGGUUCGCAAGACUGAAACUCAAAGGAAUUGACGGGGGCCGCACAAGCGGUGGAGCAUGUGGUUUAAUUCGAAGCAACGCGAAGAACCUUACCAGGUCUUGACAUCUCCUGACCGCCCUGGAGACAGGGUCUUCUUUGGGACAGGAUGACAGGUGGUGCAUGGUCGUCAGCUCGUGUCGUGAGAUGUUGGGUUAAGUCCCGCAACGAGCAGCGCAACCCUUUCUAGUUGCCAGCAUUCAGUUGGGCACUCUAGAGCGACUGCCGGCGACAAGUCGGAGGAAGGUGGGGAUGACGUCAAAUAAUCAUGCCCCUUAUGACCUGGGCUACACACGUGCUACAAUGGAUGGUACAAAGGGCGAAGCGGCGACGCAUGAGCGAAUCCCAGAAAACCAUUCUCAGUUCGGAUUGCAGGCUGCAACUCGCCUGCAUGAAGCCGGAAUCGCUAAAUCGCGGAUCAGC